rnacentral:rRNA from 1 species
UACGAGGGGGGCAAGCGUUGUUCGGAAUUAUUGGGCGUAAAGGGUGCGUAGGCGGCGCGGUAUGUCUCUUGUGAAAUCUCCAGGCUCAACUUGGAGUCUGCAAGGGAAACUGCCGUGCUUGAGUACUGGAGAGGUGAGUGGAAUUCCCGGUGUAGCGGUGAAAUGCGCAGAUAUCGGGAGGAACACCGGUGGCGAAGGCGGUUCUCUGGGCCUUACCUGGACGCUGAGGAGCGAAAGCGUGGGGAGCGAACAGG